rnacentral:rRNA from 1 species
CAGUCGCCGCGGUAAUACGUAGGUGGCAAGCGUUGUCCGGAAUUAUUGGGCGUAAAGGGCUCGCAGGCGGUUUCUUAAGUCUGAUGUGAAAGCCCCCGGCUCAACCGGGGAGGGCCAUUGGAAACUGGGAAACUUGAGUGCAGAAGAGGAGAGUGGAAUUCCACGUGUAGCGGUGAAAUGCGUAGAGAUGUGGAGGAACACCAGUGGCGAAGGCGACUCUCUGGUCUGUAACUGACGCUGAGGAGCGAAAGCGUGGGGAGCGAACAGGAUUAGAUACCCCAGUAGUCCCUGUCUCUUAUAC